AAAUUGAAGAGUUUGAUCAUGGCUCAGAUUGAACGCUGGCGGCAGGCCUAACACAUGCAAGUCGAGCGGUAGCACAGAGAGCUUGCUCUCGGGUGACGAGCGGCGGACGGGUGAGUAAUGUCUGGGAAACUGCCUGAUGGAGGGGGAUAACUACUGGAAACGGUAGCUAAUACCGCAUAACGUCGCAAGACCAAAGUGGGGGACCUUCGGGCCUCAUGCCAUCAGAUGUGCCCAGAUGGGAUUAGCUAGUAGGUGGGGUAACGGCUCACCUAGGCGACGAUCCCUAGCUGGUCUGAGAGGAUGACCAGCCACACUGGAACUGAGACACGGUCCAGACUCCUACGGGAGGCAGCAGUGGGGAAUAUUGCACAAUGGGCGCAAGCCUGAUGCAGCCAUGCCGCGUGUGUGAAGAAGGCCUUCGGGUUGUAAAGCACUUUCAGCGGGGAGGAAGGCGUUAAGGUUAAUAACCUUGCGAUUGACGUUACCCGCAGAAGAAGCACCGGCUAACUCCGUGCCAGCAGCCGCGGUAAUACGGAGGGUGCAAGCGUUAAUCGGAAUUACUGGGCGUAAAGCGCACGCAGGCGGUCUGUCAAGUCGGAUGUGAAAUCCCCGGGCUCAACCUGGGAACUGCAUUCGAAACUGGCAGGCUAGAGUCUUGUAGAGGGGGGUAGAAUUCCAGGUGUAGCGGUGAAAUGCGUAGAGAUCUGGAGGAAUACCGGUGGCGAAGGCGGCCCCCUGGACAAAGACUGACGCUCAGGUGCGAAAGCGUGGGGAGCAAACAGGAUUAGAUACCCUGGUAGUCCACGCCGUAAACGAUGUCGAUUUGGAGGUUGUGCCCUUGAGGCGUGGCUUCCGGAGCUAACGCGUUAAAUCGACCGCCUGGGGAGUACGGCCGCAAGGUUAAAACUCAAAUGAAUUGACGGGGGCCCGCACAAGCGGUGGAGCAUGUGGUUUAAUUCGAUGCAACGCGAAGAACCUUACCUGGUCUUGACAUCCACAGAACUUUCCAGAGAUGGAUUGGUGCCUUCGGGAACUGUGAGACAGGUGCUGCAUGGCUGUCGUCAGCUCGUGUUGUGAAAUGUUGGGUUAAGUCCCGCAACGAGCGCAACCCUUAUCCUUUGUUGCCAGCGGUCGGCCGGGAACUCAAAGGAGACUGCCAGUGAUAAACUGGAGGAAGGUGGGGAUGACGUCAAGUCAUCAUGGCCCUUACGACCAGGGCUACACACGUGCUACAAUGGCAUAUACAAAGAGAAGCGACCUCGCGAGAGCAAGCGGACCUCAUAAAGUAUGUCGUAGUCCGGAUUGGAGUCUGCAACUCGACUCCAUGAAGUCGGAAUCGCUAGUAAUCGUAGAUCAGAAUGCUACGGUGAAUACGUUCCCGGGCCUUGUACACACCGCCCGUCACACCAUGGGAGUGGGUUGCAAAAGAAGUAGGUAGCUUACCUUCGGGAGGGCGCUUACCACUUUGUGAUUCAUGACUGGGGUGAAGUCGUAACAAGGUAACCGUAGGGGAACCUGCGGUUGGAUCACCUCCUUACCUUAAAGAA
rnacentral:rRNA from 1 species